rnacentral:rRNA from 1 species
UAAUACGGAGGGUGCAAGCGUUAUCCGGAUUCACUGGGUUUAAAGGGUGCGUAGGCGGACAAGUAAGUCUAUGGUGAAAUCCCCGAGCUCAACUCGGGAACUGCCGUAGAUACUAUUUGUCUUGAAUCUCGUGGAGGUGAGCGGAAUAUGGCAUGUAGCGGUGAAAUGCUUAGAUAUGCCAUAGAACACCGAUUGCGAAGGCAGCUCGCUACACGAUCAUUGACGCUGAGGCACGAAAGCGUGGGGAUCAAACAGG